CAUCAGCAACCAGACUCAACAUCUGGACAUCACUCACCUCUGUCACACAUGUUCAGUCCACUGUUAUGGUCCUACUGAAGCUGUGAUCCGAUUGGUCCUCUCUGCUCUGGUGGGCGUGGCUACUGUCAUUCUUAUGGUUUAUGAAAUCAGAUCCAGAAGAGCUGAACGAGAUCAAGCACAUAUUCACACAUCAGGAAGUAUUGAAAUCUAAAGCAGAACGCUGAACUUCUUCAAGUGUUUUUGUCAUUAUAAAUACUGAUGAUUAUUUGAGCUGCUCUCUCUUUCAGUGUCAGAUUUUUUAAAUCUUAUUUGUAAGGCUUUAUUUAUAUUUCUCUCUGAUACAAAAAAUAAUAAUAAAGAGUAACACCCGAGAUAGCAAGCAAUGAUUGAAAUAAUGUUAAAUCAAUGUUAAUGUGACAAUGUUAACUGCAUUGAAUCAAUAUCACUUUUGUACCCGCAAUUAAUGUUGGAAUUUCAACAGAAAAUUGAUGGUAAUGGCAUUGAAUCAAUGUUUACACUCUCAGAAAAUGAAACACAACUACAACUGACUUAAAGCCACACAGCCUGAAAUCAAAUGAAGAUAAAAGAAGAUCUCUCAAGAUCUCAGCAGAAGCUCUUUUUGAGAAUUAACAGAGGUUUAGAUGUUGAUGUUUUAUUGAAAUUAUUUGGUCACCAUUAGUGUGAUCAGUGUUUCCUUUAGUUGGGCAGUUUGACAGCAGCUGCCGAGGACGGGGGGACGCGACUCCACCUGUCAGUCACCAUGAAACACUUGCAAUUUCCCUGUUAUAAUAAUCUUUAUAAUAUUUGAAGAGUUUGGUUCCAAAAUGCAAUAACUCCAUUUUGACUAAUUUGAGUAAAAAGGUGUUUUCUUUACCAAGAAAGCGGCAAGAUGAAAACCACUAUUUUCUGUUUCAAACU